rnacentral:rRNA from 1 species
CCACGCUGUAAACGAUGUCGAUUUGGGGAUUGGGGUUUAACUCUGGUGCCCGAAGCUAACGUGAUAAAUCGACCGCCUGGGGAGUACGGCCGCAAGGUUAAAACUCAAAUGAAUUGACGGGGGCCCGCACAAGCGGUGGAGCAUGUGGUUUAAUUCGAUGCAACGCGAAGAACCUUACCUACUCUUGACAUCCUAAGAAGAACUCAGAGAUGAGUUUGUGCCUUCGGGAACUUAGAGACAGGUGCUGCAUGGCUGU